ACAUGUAGAGUCAUCUGAAAGGAGAGCCUCACUUGAAGAAUCUCCUAGAUCAGAUUGGCCUGUGGUCAUGUUGGUGGAGAAUUGUAUUGAUUUUGAAUUGGUGUAGGAGGGUCCAGCCUACUGCAGGAGCUACAAUCCCUAGGCUCAUAAACCUGUCCUGUAUAAGAAAGCCAAUUGAGCAUAAGCCCACCUAGCAGCCAGCAAUCAACAUUCUCCAUGGUUCCUGCUGCUGUACCUUCUCUGGCUGUGAAAUGAGCUCCUUGGUUGGAGACAUUCUGAGCUUCUGAGCAGCACAGGAUACUCCACCUUCCUCUAGAGCAUCAUUUCUGAAUUGUUGCUAAGUCCACAAAGGAUGUACUGACAGCUGGCCUUCCCUGCCAUUCUUAGAAGUGGUUUUGCAAGCAGUAGUUAUUUUUUAAAGUGUUACAGGAUGUUCAACGGAGGUACUGGUUUUGAAAGUUUAUUCCUAAAUGCAAACCUGGACUCGACAGCAGACUUUGUUCUUGGUAUAUCCCAAUUCCCACUAGAGUGAAAAAGAAGUAUCAGGACUUCCCUUUUAUGGAACCCUUUGCCAAGUCUCUAACAGUGUCUAGGUGGGCAGAAUGCAGAUACAAUGAUGGGGUCUAUUGGGAAAUGGGCAAAUGAACUCAACAGACAGUUCUCAAAGCAAGUGCAAGCAAGCACAAAUAGAUACACAAAAAGAUGUUCACGGCAUCCUCAGCCAUCAUGGAAGUGCAAUGGAAAACUAUGCUGAGAUCCCAUCUCAUACUAAUUAGGAAAUUAAAACAAAUGCUGGCAAUGAUGCUGGGGAACAAGAAGCCUACACUAUUGGGAGGGACAUAAGCAAAAGUAGACACUAUAGAAAUCAGCAUGAAGCUUCCACAGCACAAUCACAAAGAGAACUACCAGCUGAUUAGACUAUUCCACCUAUGUGGAUAUCCAAGUCAGCAUACUAUAGAGAUGUUUGCACAUUAAUGCUUGCUAUGGCACCAUUGUAAUAGCAAAAAACAAAAACAAAAACAAAAACAAAAAUAAAAACAAAAACAAAAAAAACAGUAUGAAUGAAUUUCAACAAGUGACCAGAUUUUUUAAAAAUGUUAGGUAUAUGUAUAUAUGUAUACAAACAUGUAUGCACACACAAUUGACCAUAAAUAAUGGAAUUAUGUUAUUUUCAGGAAUAUGAUAGAACUGGAAUCACUACAUUAAAUGAAAUUAAACAGAUGCCGAAAGACAAGAACUGCAUAUUUUCUCUCAUACUCUAAUAUAAUUUGUAUAUUAAAAACAAAUGAAAACAGAAGGUGAAUAAUUUGGAAAUAAGGGGGAUAUCAGGAUGGAGAGGGUACAAGAGGGGAGAACGGAGGGUGACUAUGAUCAAAGAACAUUAUAUACAUUUAUGAACACAUCAUAAUGAAACCUAGUUUUAAACAGUUACUUAUGCAUCAAUUGUAUACUUCAAGAAGAAACAAGUCCUUGCCAUUAUAUCUUUACCAAAAUACAGAAGACUCACUGAUAAACCAGAAAAUAUAUUUUUGUGAAGCAAGAGAACAUCAUAGCACACAAUGGUAAUGAUCAUUAUCAUUGUUGGUCUUGUUUAGACUUUCAUUUUUUUAAUUUUAUGCUUGUGAUUAAUCAAAAGUAAAAAAAAAAUCUCUUAAAAUAGACACUUGUGUGGUUCACCCAUUUUUCUUGAACCUCUUCCUCUGUUGAAUCCUUCCUGCAGUUCUCUGAAGCCAGAGAGCUUUGCUGUUAUUUUCCUUUCUGGGUUUCUGACAUGAAAGCCAUCUCCACCCUGCCAGGUGGCCUCCCCCAAUGCCUGGAGCAGCUGGAACAGGCUCCAUCAGAGCAGCGCCUGUCCCUUCCUCAACUCCCAGGAGAGAAACAGAAAUGAGGACACAGCUUUGGAAUAACAGGACAAAUGAAAAUGACAAAUCUCUUCCAUCUGAAGGGCAUUUCCAACUCUCCAAAAAAUUUUCACCUCCUGUUAUUUUAAUUGCUUACCCCUCACACUCUCCCAAUUCUUUCUUAGCCUUGAACUUUCCACUCUCAGUGCUGCUGUGCAAGGUUCCCCCAGCAUGUCCUCCUUUUAUACCUAUGGGCUCUAAAAAGAAUGGAUGCUGGUGCUUGGGAGCCUCCAUCAUCCCUUUACCAACAAAUCCCCUGAGUCCUACUUGCCUGUGCAUCUUCCAGAAACUAACCCCUUGAUCACAGGUAAAAGGUAUUGCAGAGGCAAGCAACCAUGGAAUGAAAUCAUGAGCCUAAAUAAAACAAAUAUACUCCUAAAAAAAAUAAAAAUCUCUCUCAUGUAUUUGCCAUGGUGACAAAAUCCUGACUAAUAAAAGUAUCCUGCUAAGGAGAACUCACUGGUUGGUAGAACAGCCUAGUUGACCUUGCAGAGAAGAGAAUCACCAGGAAAAGGUACCAUGAUUGAUCUUUUGAUGUCUGAUGCCACUCACUGCUCUUGGGAGAAGGGCAAGUGCAUAGCACAGAUCUGUAGGGUGCCAUCCCUUACUGGAUCUCCCCACUUACUUUCCAGGUCUUGUACUGAUGAUAUCUUUGUAACUUGGUACCUUGUCACAGAGGUGGGGUACUUCUAUAUUAUAGAGUUAGAAAAUAACUUACUUCAUGUAGGCACGUGGGUGUAAAUGACACAGCCCUGCCUCGUUCUACUGGAAGAUUACAGGGCUGACCUGACCAUUGAGGUCACAGAGAAGGCUGUGACAAUGGCUUAAUCCUCAGCCUCUCAUGUACAUAACUUUCCUCCUUGUUUCGUUCCUCCCCUUUUCUUGCUAUACUCCUGUACUCUAGGUCUACCCACCCCACUUCUCUUUAUUGCAAUGUUUUCAUCCCUUGGUAGAUGAAAAAAAAUGUCUUGCUUGGUCAAAAUCUCUACAAGGUUCUCUUACCUAAAUACUAACCAGGCACAACCCUGUUUAGCUUCAGAGAUCAGAUGUAUUCAGGGUAGUCUGGCUGCAGAUAGAGCUGGCAUGGUUCUUAAUAAGCAUUUGUGCAUUGAGCUGAACUGACUCUCCAGAUGAAGACAGAAAAGUCAAUUAUUUUAGCUUUGCAUAGAUAUUAAAGGAAGGGAGAGGCAGAAGAGCUAUAAAAUCCAACUCCAAGUUCUUCAAUUCUAAAUCAACUUCGCUAAUCCUCUGUAAGUUCACAAUUGCUCUCACAUACAAGUAUAAGAAUACUUAUGAAAUAUUUCUAAGAAGAAAUCUUCCAGAUGGGCUAUGAUAUGAUACCAGCAGUCAAGUUUUCUCUAUGCCCCUUUCUUCUUCUUUCCCUCUUUUUUUUUAUCUCCACUCCCUACUCCCACCCCAAACAUUUAAGAAUACUAGGCAUUCUGCUAAAAUAAUGAGACCUUUGGGUGCAGCACUCAACUGUUCUAAAAGUUAGGUAAGCCUCUUAGACUGAAUUCUAAGGACUUUCCAAAGCAAUCAAAUAAAGGGAGGGUAGACACAAGAUUUUAGCAGAUUCCACGAAGCAAUUCAAGAUCAGAUUUUUCAGAAGUUCCAUUUUGAAAUCCAUUUGCUGACAGAGUCUUUAUUAAUAUAAUCCUUCAGCACAGGAAAUCAUUCACUGAACAAACCUGAAUGUAUUUCCAAAUCCAUAUGCUAAAAGCACUUCAUUAUUCUACCCAAAGUUGCCUGUACAAAAAACCCUUAAACUACACCUUCAUGUUAUCCUAGCCAGUAUGAACAUCUCUGUUAGCCUAGGAGCGAUGUCUUCAGAUAGGCAGAAAUUUUAAUUGAAUAGACAUAAAAGUACAAUUCUUCAAAACUUCCUGCUUUGUCUUUCUUUGUCUUAAACUGAUUAGAAACCAUGCUAUUGAUAAUCACACUGUGAAUCAGGUGAUUUGUGUCGGGGGUGGUGGUUAAUAGAGAUGCAGAGCAGACAGCGACCAUGAGGCAGACACGGUUCUGCUGCCGUGAGAUCACUUCCAAGCUGCUUCUCUGGCUUUUUAGCUUUUUGGCAAUUUGUCUAUUUCUCCAUUCUGUACCUUAAAAUGAAAAGGUACCAGUAGCUGGUAGGAUGACGCUCAACAAUGCUUUGUUUUCUGAAACAUAGAACUUUUGCUCUUAGCUGUUAAGUUCUAAUCUACAGAGGCAAUGAACACACAGAGAGAGCUGAGAUUGAGUGGAGGGGGCAUAGGUGUCUGGAUGUCUGGUUUUCCUGGAGAACUGUUAGGAGAAAAUUGGGAAGGGUGGGUUCCAAGGCCUCAGUUCAGUCACACGAAUUGAAUGAAGGAAACUUUUUUUUUUUUUUACCAUAGCUGAAAUGUAUGGAGGAUGCCAGAGACUCUGUGACCAGGGACCAUGAAGAAACACACUGGAUCUUGUAAUCAAGACUACAAACACAUUGAAGUUAAUGACAUAUGCAAAAUUGAUGCCCAACAUUUAGCUAGAAGCUAUGCUAUGUGCAGGGGACUCUUGGUCAUCCUAUGUGUACCAACUAGUGGUGCCUGGGGAAGGCUGAGAAGGCUGUCCUUACUAUCUGUCUGUUCGACAUACUCUAAGUAAAUUUUAUGGGAGGAGAAGAAAGUUCUUUCUUAGUUUUAUCUUCAUUCAUAUAUAUAUAUUAGUGUUUUGCCUGUCUGUUGGUCUGUCUGUCUGUCUAUGCCACAUGUGUGCAUGUUCCCCUCAUAAGCCAGAGGAGGGCAUCAAAUCCCAUGGAGCUGGAUUCAUAGGUGGUUUUAAGUCACCCUGUAGGUUCUGGGAACCAAACUCUGGUCUUCUUCUAGAACAGUAUGCAUUUUUAACCACUAGGCCAUCUCUCUAGCCUCAAGAUUAGAGCUCUAAAAAAAUAAAAGUAAAAAUAAAACUGUUUCAUCACUGAUGGGCUUAGGAGAAACAAAGACCACUGUUUUUCCAUGUCAGGUGAAGAAGCCACUCACCUGAGAAGAGCCUAUCUCCUGUGCAUGUGCCCUUCCCUUCUUCAACCAUGCCAAGGCUCUGGUGAACAGUGGUAUGCACAGAAGGAGAUGAGCUCAAAAAAGCAAUAGACUACCCCUGACUGGCCACCAGCAGCAGCCACACUGGAUCAUACUGAAGUCUGCAUGGAACUUGAAUGAAAUCGAUGUUUGAAACAUCAAUAAGAGGCUGUAAUUUCCAAAUGUAUACAGGAACAGAAAGAACUGCUAUAAAAUGACUACACCCCUAAGGCCACAGGUACCUUGUCUCUUGGUAAUACGCAAAGCUGUAUUCACCAAGUACUCAACACUCAGUAACUCCCUAAUCAUUUUCCCACUUACAUAUGGGACCAUGACAACUAGAUAAAGCAGACUUUAAAAAUUAUGUUUUUAUCCACAGUCCUGUCAUAAGAACUUAAGGAUUUCCAAAACUAGUCUUUAAGCUUGUCUAGCCCAACAGUCAAUAUGAGUAUGAGCUCACAAAACUGAACUACAGAAGAGGUCACAGCUUACUGUGUUAAUCGAUGCAGUCUCAGCUUCCAGGGCAUACCUAGCAUGUGCUCGUGUUGGCAGAAAUACCUGAUGAAUUCUGAAUUGAGAUUUGGAGUUUUUCUUCUGCAAUAAUGUGACAUGGUACUGGUUUGCUUUGCUUUAGGCUAGAUACACAAUCUUGGCCAUUUCCCAUAGGUGCAUUGCACUUCAGGUUUCUCACAUGUGAAGCAAGCAUUGUCUCCAGCAGCGUUUUCUACCUAACUUGACAUUCAGACCAAAGUUUGCUGGGGACUCUUCCCUGAAGAGAUACAUAGGAAAGUUGAACAUAUUAGCCUUUAUCCACUGGGCUGUGGCAGUCUAAUAAGACUGAUUUGAGUGUGAAAUUCUACUGCUAACAAUAGAUUGGAAACAUUACUGAGGUCUCUUAUUCCUAUAGGCUCUAUAUUUAGAUGUUCAUAUGUCCCUCCUUUCUCUCUGUUUAUCUGUCUUCCUCUGUAUUUAUCUCUCUUUCUCUGUCUGUCUUUGUCUCUCUCUGGAUAGCUUGACCCAGGGGGUCUCCAUCUUUUUUAAUUUGGGGGUUACACUGACGCCUCCACUCGGCAUGUCUUUUGGUCCUGGGGAUCCAACAAACUCUUGUCUUUAUGCUUGCAAUGGUAAGGGCUUUUCCCACAGCCUUACACUGUUAGUCUUAUAGCUCCAAAAAUAAAACAAUAUCUUUGCUUCCCCAGGGCCAGAAUACAUGCUGUUCCCUUGAUCUAGAAUGUUCUUUCCUGCCCACUCACUGCUGCAUCUCUGCCAGCCUAAUUUUUUCUCAAAGUUAUUUCCUAGGGAAGACCACCUGCCACCUUCAGGUGAGUCUGAGCCCUGGUACUGGUUCUCACAGUACUCUGCCCUUUUAAUGAUGGUAACUUGCCUGAUCAUAAUUAAGUAAAUCAAUGUAAUUAAUGGUCUGACGUCUGUUCUUCUUGCUAAAUUACCAUCUCCUCAUCUUCCCGAGAAUGAAGAGGCGGUCUGUGUCCUCAAAAUUGAACUCAUGCUUUAAUGAUUAUUUCCUGAAGAAAUAAAUGAAUGAAUGACAAAGUAUCAGAUACUAAGGAGGCUGAGUAGAAGGAUCACAAGUUAAAAUUUGCCUGGACUACAGAGUGGGUUUCAGGCCAAAGUUGGCUACUUAAUGAGAGCUCUACUUCAAAAUGAAAAGUCAAAGACAAAACAAAAGGUCAGAGAUAUAGCUCAACAGUGGAACAUGGGUAAAUAGUAGCACAUGUAUGACCCCAGGAGCUCAUCGCCAGUCUCUCUCACACACACACACACACAGAGAGAGAGAGAGAGAGAGAGAGAGAGAGAGAGAGAGAGAGAGAGAGAGAGAGAGAGAGAGAGAAGGAAGAGAAGAGAAGAGAAGAGAAGAGAAGAGAAGAGAAGAGAAGAGAAGAGAAGAGAAGAGAAGAGGAAGAGAAGAGAAGAGGAAGAGAAGAGAUUGAGAAAGGGUCAUAAAAGACAUUACAUAAUACUUGUACAAGAUUACUAUGAGAAUUCCAUCCUUAUGAUGUUGGACAAACCUAGGGCUUCUAGUGACUCAUUUGUCUUAGAAAAGGAGAAAAAAAAAACACCACUGGUUGCUGGUUGUUUAACAGAGAUCACUGUCUGUCCUAUAUGAUAUCUCAAAAUGAUACCCCAAGUGGUCCCUCUGAAGCAUCUCAAAUGAUCCUGGAAUAGAUUCUGGGGUAUAAAACUUGAGAGUCUUCAAGCACAUGAGUUACAUGCAUUUACAGUGACCAAAAUUAAAUAAAAUGAAAACUCAGCUCACUCACACUAGCCCUUCCCUUAGCUCUUAAGAGUCACCUGGUUGUAGCUGUGAGCACACUGCCCACAGUGACUCGAUCAUGUCUACCAGUACACUGGCCCCGUGUUCUGGGUGCUCCUCAGCUCUGCACAUUCCAGACUUUGGGCUGUCCACAUUGCCUCCUAUUUGGUUUUUUCUUCCUUCUAACACAAUACCUGUAACUUUUUUUACAUCCACAUACUCACCAUUUAUCUUUUCUAAAAAAGUAGAAGCAAGAAAGAUUUUUAAGUUGUCCAUUAGUCAAUUAAACAAAGUUCUCUGGUCUUUCCUUCUGCCAGCAGAUUUAAAUACCCUACCUUCAUCGCCAUUUUCAUGUUCUUUUCUGACAGCAGCCUGCAUUGAAGGCUGGUUUCCUCGCUACUGUCUUUCUGUCACUGGGCUGUCUCAUAUGCCUUCUCUUAGAGGAUGCAGUCUUGUUUUUGAGGUGUCUUGACUAUGUGGAGUCAUAUUUGGUGGCUUCUUGGUGUUCCUAUCCUUCUGAGACCAUGUUUGGUUACCUUUUUGAGAUGGGAUCACAUGUAGCCUGGGUCAACCUUGAACUUCUCAUCCUUUUGCCUCCACCUCCUGAGUGCUGGGAUAACAGGUAGGCAUUUAUCAUGCCUAGUGUUAUGCAGUGCUGGAGAUCACCCUAAGGUUUCCUGCACGAUGGAAUCACAGUACCAGCUAAGCUCAGGGCCCUGGUGAGGUUCUUUUGGAAGCCAAGGUUUGGGUGGUUGAACUACUGCUGUACUAUGUGCAUUCAUCUCUCACAGUCACACAAUGAUGCGGAAUGGCUAGAGAGAGAAAACCUAGCAAAUCCGCUUUCCUGGACUGUGUCUUCUUCAUUUGCUGGCUUAUUCUGUCUGUGAUCAUCGUGGAUUUGAUUAUUUUGUGAUCAUUUCUUUCAAGGCUUCUCUCUAAUCUUUAGAUUAGAGCUUUAGAGCAGUAAUUCUUUCUUUUCUCUUUCAUAAUAUUACAUUAAAAAUGGAUUUCUGCCUUACCUAAGGGUUGUAACUUGUCCUCAUGUAGCCUCUGUCUUAGCUUUAGUUCUCCAAGGAAACACCAAGACAAAGAUUUAUAGGCAAACAGUACCCUACGGGAGUAAAGAGGAAGGAAUACCACCAGGAACCAGGAGAACAAGAAAGUAAAAUGAGGGCAAUCGAUGAAAGAUGUGUCAGGAAACCAGCUCCCACAAGCAGGGCCAAACUCAGUAUACAAAGCACAUCACUCAGAGGAAGGGAGCUGGGGUAUGUAUCAACCCUCACGGGCAGCCAAGGGGGGCGAUUCCUGGACCCAGUGGUAUUUUUCCACACCCCACUGGACAGGCAUAGAAUGUUAGUCACAAAAAUCUAUCAAAGGAGGGCAACCCUGUAUGCAUGGAAAAAUAGAAAAAUGGACCCUAUAGAUAUGUGAAAUUAAUACAUGUGAAUGAAAAGAAAUGCAAGUGCUAUGAGCCAGGGCAUGUGGAUGGAGAUUCCCUGAAGUGCUAAGGGUAAGAGGUUCUGUCUGCUGCCUCGACUAUACUAUGACACCCUCAACCAGGUUCCUCAUCCAUCUGUGUUGGGAAUGCUUAGGGAAACACACUUAAGCUUUCCAUUGCCUAACGAAGGGACAAAGGUAGAUGAUAUACAAGGUUCCGAAGAUUCUGUAACUUCUCUUUGGAUUACUUUCCAUCAGGUAUUCAAGUGCAUACCCUGCACUCUCUCUCACCGGGCAGUAAGCCAUCAGAUCUAACAAGCUUCUUGACCUAUAACUCAUUUGCGUGUCUGGCUUCCCCUGCCACUUCAGAAGAAUUUGAGUGCAGUCUGUUUUCACUAUGGAGAAUACUUUGAGAGGUGACAGAAAGUAAAGCCAUCUGUGGUACCUCUCUGGACCUGAGGAAACUGUGUGACUAUCUCCAGAAAAGGCAGCUAAGGUGAUUUUCUCUUUUGGACCUCAGACCUGAAUGAAGGACAUUUACUAUAUGACAGGAAUGUUAAGCACUCGACAUCCACCAACUUUCAAACCCUCACACCAGUCCCUAUGAAAUAGGCCUGAGAGUUGAAAAACUAAGUCAGAGGUUUAAAUUUUUGCCUGAUCCCCAGCUGUCAGCCAAUAUUAACAAACUAUACAUAAACAAUAUAUAGUCAUCUUAAUAGGCUAAUAAAAAUACCUGAUGAAAUCAAUACUUAUUUUUAAUAAAAAUUCUCAAUAAUCUAGGAACAAAGGGGAACUCUCUCACUUGAUAAAUAAGGACUUAAAAAUUCCUACAGCAUGUAUUUUAUUUAAGAGCUAGAGGUAGUAUCCAUUUCUCAAAACAAUAGGCAAGACAAGGCUAUCUAGUCUUUCUACUUCUGCAAAAAAUUAUACUAUCAAAAAAUUAUGCAAUUUCUAGUUAGCGUAAUAAAGCAAGAAAAAUAAAUAAAAUUAGAAUAUGUGUUAUAGAUACAUAUAUAUGUAGUAUAGAAAAUAGGAUAAUAAAUAAAAAUUAGAAUGACAAAGUAGAAAAAUCUCAUUAUUUACAGACAUUGUAGCCCUUUGUACAGAAAACUUAAUGCAGUGAAUGUAAAUCUAUUGGAAGUAACACAUGAGUUUCAUGAGCUUACAGAAUACAAAGUAGAUAUAUAAAAUCUAUUGUGCCUUAAAUGCUAUCAGCAACCGAAACUUAAAAUGAAAAUGUCAAAACUAAAAGAAAAAGGUUUAAGAGCCCAUAUGUUUUAGCACUAAAACUAUAAAUAAAGGAUGAUGCUGAUAAAAUGGUAUACAAAAAUCUGCACACUGGAAAUGAUAAAAGAUUGUUUGGAGAUGCUAACUACCUAAACAACUAAAGAUCUGUGUCAUACUUAAGUGUCAGAAGGCUCAAAAUUAGGGUGCUUUCAGUUCUCUCUAACUUGAUUUAUAAAAUUAAAAAGAAGAAAAGAACCUGUUCCUUUCAGUUAAAUUAAAUGAUGAGACAAACCAACAAGUUUUAUAAAUUUCAUCAUAAGCCAAAAAAAAAAAAAAAAAAAAAAAGGAUUAUCAGAAGAGGGAAGAGAAGGCUGCAAACAUCAAAGGAAGUAAAACAUAAAGGUUUGAGAGAAAGACAAGACAGAAGAAUCACACAACACCUAGAAUCUAAUAAAACAGUGUGAAAGGUGUUAAUCAACACCCGCCUCUGCACACACAGUUGGCGCUCUUCCUUGCUCCGUGAGAGAGAACAACCAUGGUGCUUACUUCCUGUUAGCUUUCUUUCUGGGAUCUCACUUCCUGUUGCUGCCUCACAUCCUCAGGAAGCAAAGCUACGUGUAACAUUCCUAUUCCUGUAGGCGCUCACAUGACAUCAAGCCUUGUAACAUUCCUAUUCCUGUAGGCGCUCACAUGACAUCAAGCCUUGUAACAUUCCUAUUCCUGUAGGCGCUCACGUGACAUCAAGCCUUACCAGCCCUUUGAAAAUCACAAUGAUGGUUCCAAAGCAGGUUAUUUCCUGGAAGCUUCCAACUUAUAUAACAGAUGAAAGGGUCUGGCUAUUUUUGCCAGCUUUUAACUUUACAACCUUUAACUUGCCUCCUUUAUCGUUUUAAUUCCCACUGUAAAGAAAAGGCACAUCGUUUCCCUUUAUAACUAUGUGCGAUUUGAGAAAGGCUAACAUUUUUAAGGUAAAAAGAAGCAAGACAUAGAGGGAAAGAAGCUUGUGAAAACAACCAAGGCUUACCUAAUAAAUUGUUUGUAGGAUUUUAUUUUCCUCAAAGUUUGUAAACCCUGCAAACCCUGGUCUUGUUUGAUUUCCAACUGCUGUGGUUUCCAAUUAGCCUCUUUCCUUGAUCAGAAGGUGGGCUUUCAUAUGCCUUCUCAGAGGUUAUCUUAGACUGUUGGCAAGACUCUAACUGGCUAUGAUGAAAACAAAUCUUAUUUUGAAUGAAUAAAAGCAUAUGGCUCGUAGGAGUUGUUUUGAUUGUGAGAGAGAAAAAGGGAAUGUGGAGCUUAAAGGUUCCAAAUCUAUAAAUUAAAAUAGGCCAGUUGUGGGAGGAGGGAAAAUCUGAGAGGUACACCUAAACUGUGCUUAAUUUAAGACCUAAAUAAUUGAUUGUACAGGUUGGGUUGAAAUGUAUAGAAAGAUGCAUUUACUAGCAUGUCUUACACAUGGGUAUAUGUUUAUAUGAGUUUGUAAUGUCUAGCAUGUAGUCAUAUUAAUGGACAUUUUCUCAUUUAUUCUUCAGUCCAAUAUCUUCUAUAUUCUGUCCUACCUGUCUUAUAUGCUUAGCCAGGUAUACAUAUUCUAUAGAGGUUUUCAGUUCUAUUGACCAGCAAGAAAAUGCAAAAGAAAACCCAUCUGCUGUCAAAGUUGGCAAGUAGACAGCUAAGCGCCUGCAUGCGUGCCUUCAACAAGUUCCUCACUAACAACAGUCCCAAUGAUUUAUCAUGUCUGCAUGGUAGACACUAUAAAGGAUUCUGUCAAACUAAAGUAUCCAUUAAGAUUAUAGUCCAUCAGCUUAACCUCUCCUACGAGGCAGGGGAGUAAUUAGAUCUGUGCUAUGAGCAAAAGCUGAGCAGAAGAUCCUUACUGUGAUCAUGUUUCAGGCCAACUAAAGUUAUGGACAAUGACAGGCUCUUCUGACUGUCUUGGAGCAUAUGUAGCAUGUAGCGCUCACAGUGUGGGCAUUACCAUUGCAACACGUGGCAUUCACGAUGCUGGCAGUCCGUAUUGAGAGGGUUGUAUGUGCAAAACACACACUGGAAUUUGAACCCCAGAGAUUGAAAGAGAACUAAAAAAAAGGUCAUUAACAAAUUUUAUACUACUUUCAUGUUACAAUAAAGUAAUUUAAACAAGGGGUAAAAUAAAAUAUUCUGUUCAGAUCAGUUCCAUCUCUUGCUUUUUAUUUUAUUUAAGGUAGCUACUAGGAAAUGCAAAAGUACAUUGCAUGUCUUGUAUUCUAUCUGCUAGACAGCACUGUUCUGAAUGGUAGGGAUGGAUAGCUCCUAUGACCUCACUACUUAGUCUAUUUUAAAAGCAACACAAAGAGCAUAUUAUUCCCCUAAGAGUCACAUGUGUUCACAUGUGUAAGAAGUCUAAUCCCCAAGGAGCCAAGCAAGCUAUUCUGGAUUUCUCUUUUCAGAGCUAAAAACAGUUAUCUUCAUGGCUCACUGUACAACUUCUUCAGUGACUACCAAUUGCCAAUGAUCACUAAGGCUGCUGUUACUGAAAUAUCAUCAUCACCAUCAUCCUUUAAAAACAGCAAAUCAUUUUGUGGGUUAGGAGUGGGAACAUUUUGGGGGUAAUAGCUAGAUCCCGAAUUGUUACCCCAGACUCUAAGCUCAUGCCUUGUCAUCCCAUUGCAACUCCCAAUGCUUCAAACACAUUGAUUUUUUUUAAACGUUCCCAAAAUAUAUUGUAACUUUCAUGCUUCCACAUCCUUUUCACAUAUUUUCUACUUCUUAGAAUGUGACUUCCUUUUUCUGUCUGUAAAACUCCUACACAUAUAUUAACAUAACACAGGCACCCCCUCGUUUGCAGAAUAAACCUGCCCUCCUCCAGUUAUUCUGGUUUUACUUUUGAAUCACUGUGGUGCAGCAACUGUUUGAUCAUGUAAACAGAGCCCAGAUCAUGUAAUCUGUACCAUUCUCUGUGCCCCCAACUCUAUAGAGUGCUGAGCCUCUGUGUGCACAUAUGUGUCCGUGCAUGUGCCUAUGUGGACCUUUGCAAACACAUACACACAGGAAGGAGAAAUCUAAGAAAGUUAUAUUCCAGAUAUUUUGGUGCAUAUCUACCACUAGAUUGAUAAUGGGUAAUGUUAAAAAAUAUUGUAAAAUAUAUAGACAAAUUUUCCAUCACAACCAUUUGUAAAUGAACACUUCAGUAGGUUUAACUGUAUUCACAUUUUGCAACACAUUCCCAGUUUUCAUCUCUCAGGACUGAAACUCUAGAUCCAUCAAACUCGAACUCCUCAUGAUUCUUCCUUCAGGCCCCUGGCAAACAGCAUUCAACAUCUCUAUGACCAAAGCUAUACAAAGUACCUCUUAUAAGAGAAACCAUAUAGUAUUCCCCUUUUCAUGACUGGCUUAUUCUCCAAGGUUCAUAUACAUUGCCACAUAUAUCAGAACUUUCUUGUCUAUAGACACUACAACUUGUUUUUUAUUCUCCCAUCACUAGGCAUGAGGGCUGACUGUACCUUUAGCUACUGUGAAAGGUGCCUCUGUGCAUGUGAGGAUGCAGGGAUCAGCUAGAGUCCCUGUCUUCAGUUCUUUACAAAUAGGCCUGGAGGUAGAGUUGCUAGAGCAUGUGGCAGUUCCCUUUUGAAUUCUUGAGAAAUUCCAACAGUGACAUCACUGUACAGCUCUUCUCCAAGUACAAGUGUAUUCCAAUUUAUCCACAUGCUUGCCAGUAAUUCUUCCCUUCCCUUCUCUUCCCUUCCCUUCCCUUCUCUUCCCUUCCCUUCUCUUCCC